GUGAGCGGGCUCUGUGAGAGCUGCGGGGGAGGCGGGACUGUGGCGGACCUACGGGGAUCCCGUGGCAUUGAGCGGGCGAGGCUCUUGCGGCUGGGACGGGCAGCCCCAGCGGGCGGUGGAAGCAGCGCCCGGAACAGGAAGGAAGCGGCCGUCUCACCGCGCUUCCGCUUGCGGUUUUGAGCUGGUCGGGGCAGAGCAGGCGAGGCUAUCCUGUCAUGCAUCCGCGUCCGAGGCGUCCAGCGGAUGUGGAAAGCAUCAACAGCCUAUGCUGUGUCCAUCACCCAGGAUGACAGAGGAGCUGACAACUGGGGGACCGACCCUGACUUUGUGGUAGGAGUCACCAGCCUGCCUAAGUGCAGAGAUUGUAAGAAAACAUUUAAGUGUAAAGCAGGCCUGGCUCAUGGUCCACCAGGAACUACACACUGGAGGUGCAGUCAGUGUGGGAAAACAUUCUCUUUAUUGAUAUGUGAAGUCUCAUGAGUAUGAGAAUUCAUUCAAAUGCAAGAAAUGUGGGAGAAUCUUCAGGUAGAAUUCAGCCUUUUGAAAACAUACUGAAGACAUAAGAGAAAUCCUACUACAGUGGAGAGUGAGGCAAAGCCUUUGCUGACUCAUCAGAGUGGACUAUUCAUGAAAAACUUCAUAGAGCAUCUUACUGUGAAGCUCAUAAGAGCCUUGAAAACUCCAUGUGGCCCAACCUAGCCCUGAACUUGGCUGCAGUCCUCCACAUUGGCCUCCUGAAUGCUGGAAUUAUAGAUGUGCACCACCACACCAGGCUCAAAUUUUGUCUAAAGGGUUUAGUAAACAUCUUUAUUCUCUCAUCUCAACACAUCCUAAAAAUCACAAUUUAUAUAAUUGUCACUUAUAAGUAAAAUAAUACAGUUUAUGUUGUAUAAAAAAUAUGGUUUAUGCAGUAUGAAGUCUAAUUCUAAGUUCAGUAUUAUGAGCUUCAAUCUGUGUUUUGUGGCACUUGGCAAUAAGCGUGGCAGUUAUUACUGUGAUAAUUCAACUUUGGGUAGAAGUCAAAACUAUGUAACAUUACAUAGUUUUCCAGUGUUUCUGCUCAGCUUUGAGCAGUAUAGUUUCUUUGUAUAGAACACUGAAAUAUAUACAUUUGUCUGUAUAUGUGCACAAAUAUAUUUAUUGAGUCUUGAUUACAGGGCACUGAGGAAAGCAGUUGUGUUCUAUAAUAUAAGCACUUAUUGUAGAAAAAAUGGCAUUUUUUUCAGUUAAAAAUAGGGAAUAUUCUAAAAUAUAUAAAGAAUUUUAAAAAAUCAGACCCCCGAAAUUCAAAGACCCAAUCCAAAAAUGGGCAUCUGAGAUAAAUACACAUUUCUCUAAUGAAGAAAUACAAAUGGCAAAUAAAUACAUGAAAAAAUGUUCAUCAUCAUUAGUCACUAAAGAAAUGCAAAUUAAAACCACACUGAGAUUCCAUCUUGCUCCAGAAAGAAUAGCCAGGAUCAAGAAAACUAUCAACAACAAAUGUUGGAGAGGCUGUGGGGAAAAAGGAACUCUCCUACACUGUUGGUGGGAGGGUAGACUGGUGCAACCAUUGUGGUCGGUCUGGAGAUUCCUCAAAAAGCUGGGAUUGGAAGUCCCAUUUGAUCCAGCUAUUCUGCUUUUAGGCAUAUUCCCAGAACAACUGAAAACAUCAUACCACAGUGAUAUAUUUGCACCCACGUUUAUAGCAGCACAAUUUGUAAUAGCUGGCUUGGAAACAACCUAAGUGUCCAACAACUGAGGAAUGGAUAAAAAAGUUGUUACUACUCAGCUAUAAAGAAUGAUCACAUUAGGGCUGGGGAUUUAGCUCAGUGGCAUAAGCGCCUGCCUGGCAAACGCAAGGUCCUGAGUUCAAUCCCUGGUACUGCAAAAACAAACAAACAAAAAACAGCAAAAGAAUGAUCACAUUGAGAUAUUUAUAAAUAAAUGGAUGCAACUUGAGACCAUACUCACAAGCAAAAUAAAUCAAACUCACAUUUAUAAAUACCGUAUAGUCUCCCUAGUAUACAAAAUGGUAAGAGUACGUAAAAGUUUAUGGUAAUCAUGAUUCCCCAUUACAUUGCUUUGAAGCCUUACAAUGUUUCCAUUCAUUAGUUGGAGUGGUUUUAUCCUGGGUUGUUUGAUUUUAUUAUUUGUGAUGGUGUGAACAGCUAUUUUGAAGAAAACAAGGCAUUAUAAUAGCCAGUGCUGAUUUAAUGUCAUCUUGUUUAGAAGUCCUACCAAACUUUUGUUCUUCUGUUUCCAUUGAUUCUAUCAUGUUGUAUCUUAUUGGGUUUUAUUAUGCGUGGUAGUAUAAACAGAUUUUUUAUGGACAAUGAGAAAAUAUAGUAACCAUUGUUAGUUUUCUGUUAUUUGGUUCUGAACGCCCUGUAAUACUUUCACUCUCCUGGUUUUAUACUACUUUGUUAUUUUUGAUACUAUUGUGUAUGAAGGUAUGCCCAGCUAUUUCAAGGAAAGAGACACUAUGGUAGCUACUGUUAUAUUGGGGUGUCUUGUGGUGAAAUACUAUGUUGCUUAAAUUGUUUUGUUCUGAUCUGCUUUGUUAUGUCCUCUUUUAUCUUAAUCUCUUUAAAAUAAAAUUUAAAAAAAAUAGGGAAUACAACCUGUUCUGUUUCACUGUAGCUACACAUGUAGCAGUAAGCCUUAGUCAAACAAGUAACUGGUUGUGCUCAUAUAUAGUUUACAAGAAUUGACUAUACUUUUCAGUGACUUUUGGAGGAAAAUCACUUGGUAUUCUUUGUUUUUGGAAGUUAAUUCAAGCCGGGCGUGGUGGCUCACGCCUGUAAUCACAGCACCCGGGAGGCUGAGGCAGGAGGAUCAUUGCAAGUUCGAGACCAGCCUGGGCUAUAAAGUGAGCUCAAGGCCUACUUGAACUGUAUAAAGAGACCUAGUCUCAAAAAGACCAAAAAAAAAAAAAAAAAAGUUAAUUCAAAGUUGAGGCAGGAAAAUCAUUGCAAGUUUGAAACCAACCUGGGCUACAAAGUGAGCCCAUGGCCAGGCUUAAUUCCAUGGCAAGACCCUGUCUCAAAAAGACAAAGACAAAAAAAAAAAGUUAAUUCAGAGAUGAAACAGGUUUAGUUGGAAAUUUGUAUAUGACUAACACAGGUAUCAUAUCAAGUUACUUGAAAAGCGUCAAUUUUUCUGUUUCUUUAAGCUAUGUAAUUUUUUUUUUUUUUACUGGAAUUGGAAAUGAAACCCAGGGCCUUUGCACUGGGCCACAUCCACAGCCCCUUUUUAUUUUUUGACACAGUGUCUUGCUGUAUCACCAUGUUGCCCAGGCUGGCCUUGAACUUGAAAUUCCUUUGUCUCAGCAUCCCAGAGUUUUAAGUUUUUUAUAAUUUGAUGUUGUGGGGCUGGAGGUGAAGCUCAAUUGUAGAGUGCUUGCAUAGCAUGCACAAGGCCCUGAGUUCAAGCCCCAAUACUGCCAAAAAAAAAAAAAAAACAACUUGAUAUUGUGGAAGCUCAUUGUAUUCACUUUAGUGAUACAUGAACUAACAGUGAUUUAAGUGAAAAUUUUGAAUUUCACUUAAGGAUUGCUUAAUUUUAAAAAAUUCUUUAACCUUUUUCUUCAGUGGUUGUAGAACUUAGGUAUAGCAGUAGCUUCAACCUAAUUUCACAAAAUGAAGUUUUAGGGUUUGGGCAAGGUUAUUUUUUAUUUUGGGGAUUUUUUGAGACAGGAUCUCACUAGCUCAGACUUGGUUCAAACUCUUAGUGAUCCUCCUGCCUCAGCCUCCCAAGUGCUGAGAUUACAGGCAUGUACCACUAUGCCUGGCACAAAAUCAACUUCUUCAAGCAUAAAUUUUGGAUUAAAUGGAUAAAAGUACAAAUUUCAGUUGUUUUUCACUUAACCAUUUUUGGAGGGUGAUGGUGAGUAGAGACUUAACUGAUUUUCUGAAAAUCAAAAUUCAAAAGUUUAAGCUUUGUCUUGUUCCUUUAGUCCUAUGACAGUAUGCUGCUUAAAUGUCAUACCACCUCGCUCUGGCAUCCACAAAUUAUAUAUAUACUAAUAAUAAAUAUGGAGUUUUGAUAUUCUUAAAUUACUUUAUAAACUAAUACCAUCUCAUAAAAAUGUCUUCAAGUAAGUCUAGAAAUCAAUUACAGUUAGUAAAGCAAUGAAUAUAUUUACUUGGUGUGAGAGUUAUCUUUCUUCAAUCUGAUUUAGAACCAGUCCAGAGUAUUUAAGGUCAAAAUGACUUUUUUCAGUAUCAAAGUUCCCUGUCCUCCAUACUUUUCUCCCUGGAAGGAGAGGGAGACGUCAUUUCUUCGUCACACUGAUCUCUCAGUUUAGCACCUAACAGCUCACAACAAAGCAGCUGUCUUCUCUUAUAGUAAGAGAAGGGAGGAAGGACAAGACCUGCUCCCCUAAAAAAGCUAGAGAGGGUAAAAGAAGGCAAGCAAAAUGGAAUUCUAACCUAAAUUUGGAAUUGACAUCCCAUCACCUUUGCUGUAUUCCAUACGUUAGAGUCAGUCACAGCCUAAUGUUGUGACCCCAGUCUGUAGUCUCAACUACCUGGGAAGCUAAGUCAAGUGUGGAUCUUGGAGUUGGAGGUUGACGUGGGCAGCAAAAUAAAACCUCAAAUCAAAAAAAAAAAAUUGUAAAACAUACUGCAGAUCAUACUUAAGGGAGAUUACCUAAGACUAGACUUAGGCAGCUUUUGCCUGGACGCCAGCGCUGUGGACAUGAUGGGGGUUGCGCUCCUGCCAGUUCCUUUGGGCCACCACCUGCCUGAUUGUGGUGUGCCUGCAGCUUGCGUUCUCUGUGAGCCCCACCAUCAUCAUGACCCCAAAUGGGACAGUGAUUGUGAGUUCUGAGCCUACCAAGAUAACCUUCACAACUGCAAUGUCUGCUCUGCCGACCACCACCUCUGCACUAGAAACCUGUGAACACCACAAAAACAUUUUUCUGUUUUAAUUCAAGUAUUGCUAAUACUACUUGCUAUAGGAUAGAAUGUAAAGAAGCAAGUAAGAGCUACUGUUCUGGUAAUUUGACAGUAGUUGUAGCAUGGUGAACAACACUGCCUUGUGUUCUGUGCCUACUACGAUUGUUCCAGUGCCAACCAAUGCAACACCUAAAACCACAGCUCCACCUUCCCCUUCCACCCCAACCACAACAGGUGCAGCAAAUACCACUUGGACUCCAACCUUCGGACCUGUGAGGAAGUCUACCUUUGACACAGCCAGUUUCAUUGGUAGAAUUGUCUUUGUGCUGGGUAUACAGGCUGUUAAUUUUCUUUCUGUAUAAAUUCUGCAAAUCUAAAGAACAAAAUUACCAUACUUUGUAAAUGGACAUAUUAAAUUACCAGACAGACAAUUCAUUUGUGUAACUCACUGAAACCAAAAUACUAUCUUGCAAGAAGUCCCACAUGAAAGAUGCUAUUCCAAGACCUUUAAAUUUACAAAAGUUGCAUAGCAUAGUUUGGAGCAUUAUCCCUAAAGAAAAGUCAGUUAAGUCAUUUUGCUCAAAAGAAUAUUUAUAAAAUAUUCUACAUGAAUCCUUGGGGCUAUCUUAUUUUAAAUGGUUGCUGCUAUGGGAUUAUGUUUCUUUUCUUGACAUGCCAAAUAUAACUUUCUGUAAGAGAUGGAAAAUGUUGUCCUGUGCAGACAACCUUUUGACUCUUGGCAGAUUAAAUUUAGUCACCAUAAAGCCUGAAAGCUGCAUUAUUUUCAUCUUAACUCAAGAUGUUACUUAGUGGCCAGAAUUGCGAAGUGUGCGAAACAAGCAUCAGUAGGGUAGAUUUUUGACUAGCAUUUAAGAAGUAGAAUUAGGGGCUCAGGAUUUACCUCUGUGGCAUAAGUGCCUGCCUGGCAAGCACGAAGUUGUGAGUUCAAUCCCUGGUACUGAAAAGAAAAAAAAGGGGGGAAUUAAUCUAUUUAGGAGUACUAAAUUGUAUCCUUAGAAUAAAAUUUUGUGCUUGGAUGUUUUUUUCUACAUUAGAGAUAAGUUGCCACAAUUGGAAAGGAUACAAACCAUUAGUGUGUAACAGGUUGUUCAUAUUUGUAAAGCAUCUUAUAUCUUGGAAAACAUAAAGAACAGUGCCUUAAAAGACAAAUUGAAAAGUUGGCUGUAACAUAAAAUGUUUAUGAUUUGUUCUGAGGAUAUACUGUUGAAUGAGCAGUAGUAAACCUACCGCUAGAUAUCAGACUGUUAAUAUUUAAUUAAAAACAUCUUUUUUCAUAGCUGAGAAAGUUAAGCUACAGAGUCAAAAGCCUUGAUAUUGUGAACUUCCCAACAUUUUUCUUAGAGAUGAAGAGAGAGAAAAUUAGAUAUCUUUAUUUUUGUAUUCAAAAAGAUAUAUUAACAUUACUGUGCCUUGAAAAUAUUUCUCCCAAACUUUCCUAGAAAAUAACUUUUAUGAGGCUAUAAGAAAAUACCUUGUAGAGUCAUUUUUCUUUAAAUGAGACAAUCAUUUUAAGUUUUCAGAGCAAAUAUGACUAGUGUAAUUUCAUCAAUGCUAUAGGUUUUAAGCCACGCAUGGUGGCACAUGUCUGCAAUCCCAGCAUUUGGGAGCCUGACGCUGAAGGAUCUCCGUGAAUUCGGGACCAGCCUGAACUAAAAAAAAAAUCUGGGGUUUUGAUCUAGUACCUAUAAAUUUUUAGUGAUUAUCCUUGGUAGAUUGUGCUUUGUUCUUCUCUUUCCUUUAUUUCAAUUCCCAUAGAACAAUAGGCAUGGAUACUUUCAUUUCUGUCAUUCCUCAUAAAGCUCCAGUUUUCUUAGUUUUAGGAUGUUUAUUCUUCCCUUGCUUGCAUUAGAUUAGUUCAGAGACAUUAAUUAGUUUAAAAUAGGCUUUUAGUUUUCUAGAUCAUUAUUUUAUUUUUUCCCUUUAGCUCAGUUAAGCAGCUGGUUUUCAGUAUUUUAUAGUAGGAAAUGACAUACUGCUUUGGUUCAUUUCAUAAAUUGAAACUUUGUAUUGAGGUGAUUAUAUUAAAGGUUCUCAAAGUGAAGUUACCAUUUCUUUGUCACUUGCUGGUACAGUUAAACAGCUAAAGUUUGUUUUACAUGAAUUUUGUACAUAUACCUAAUGUUUUCAAGUGCCUUAAGUGUUUAAAUCUCUGGCUUCAAAAGAUUUUUGGAAAACAGUCUUACUUCACAAUUUUGUGUUUCUAUGAGUAGUGAUAUGUAAGGUACUUCACAAAAUUUAUUAUGGUUCCAUGGCUGUUAGUAUUUAGUCAGUGCUGUAAGCUUCAUUUGAAAAUACACAGAAUUUCCAUCCUCACAAUGUAGCAAAAGUGAGCUGCAGUGGUGUAAUUGUCACUUAGGCACUGGUUGCCACACAUUAAUGUAAGCAUAUAUAAGAAAUUUUGUGGAAAUAAUUGGAAACUUCUGUAAUUUUGAGCACUCCUCUGACAACAAAACCAUAAGAAGUUAGAUUUUUUUUUUGGUACUGAGGAUCAAACUUACAAGCUCACGCUUGCCAGGCAGGCGCUUAGGCUACUGAGCUAAAUCCCUGGCCAUGAAGUUAGAUUUUGCAAGUCUGUAGAGGAACUCUUGCAACAGAAUUCACAGCCUGUUUUUUUCCUCCCUUCCUUUUACCAAUGUAGUAUCUUUUUUUUUUUAUUCACAAGAGAUACUAAGGCAGCCAUUGUUGAUUUUCCUAUUGCCUGGUUUUGAAGGCCUAUAAUGCCUUCAUCACUCUCUUCUGAUCAGUUUAAUACUAUUUUGUUUUGUAUGAAUUCAUUGUGUGUGAAGAUAUGGACAACUGUUUGGAAGAAGACAGGGGAUAUUAUGGUAACUAUUCUAUUAUCUUGCUUUAAAAUCUGUGGCACAUUGUUUUCUUCUGAUCUAUUUUGUUCUGUUUUGUUGUGUUCAGUUUUACCCUCUUUAAAAUAAAAAAAGCAAUGUAGUAUCUUUAACCAAUAA